rnacentral:rRNA from 1 species
UACGUAGGGGGCAAGCGUUGUCCGGAUUUAUUGGGCGUAAAGAGCGUGUAGGCGGCCAGGUAGGUCCGCUGUGAAAGCCCCGGGCUCAACCUGGGAAUGGCGAUGGAUACUGGCUCGCUAGAGUGCGGUAGAGGAGAGUGGAAUUCCCGGUGUAGCAGUGAAAUGCGUAGAGAUCGGGAGGAACAUCAGUUGCGAAGGCGGCUCUCUGGACCAGCACUGACACUGAGGCACGAAAGCGUGGGGAGCAAACAGGAUUAGAUG